rnacentral:lncRNA from 1 species
UCACAACUGUAGAUUCAACUGAAGGUUUCUCUGAAAAACAAGGUACGGAGUGAUCCAUUCAUAGAGAAACUAAAACUGAAGCUUAACAAAUCUUUUUGACAAACAAGAACGCCAAAUGAGAAAAACUUGUAUCUCUUCAUGGAAGUAUCACUCAUGCCAAAAUAGAUCGCUUACUGAAUAAUUAAUAACACAACAAGAAAUCUUAAAGAAACGACAAUGUUUCAACAAAUAAGAUCAUGAAUUUCAAUAAAAAGAAGAAGAACCCAUAAUAGAUCUGAGAGGAGAUUUCUCUUAAACUCCAAGGGAAAACAAGUUAGCUUUUUGCUCUCCCCAAAAGGGCGCUACCCACCCAGAAUCCCAGAUGACAGUCUUGAUCAAGAAUUGUACUAAGUGGUGUACGACAAAUAGAAGGAAAAAAAUCCCUCCUUUUUGAGAAUGGAAUGUUGCUUCUGUACUUUGAUCGUGUGCGUGUGUGAAACAAUAUUUUAUUGUUUGACAAGAAAUGAAAGAUAGAAAGAUGAGAGAAUUGUCCAGAGCUCAGCCCCUAACCCAUUUCCUUGGCAUUAAUAAAAGUCUUACUUGUUCU